UGCCCCUGAAGGCGGGGGCGAAGGUCACUGUCUACCUGUGUCCUAACUAAUUAGCUACUGGUGUAGCCCGCUGCCUCCCGCCAGCUACUGUACCGGAGUCCUAGCUUAAAAAUGGACCAAUAGAAUUGGACCCAAUAAAGAGGGGUUCCUGCGAAUGAAGGAACGCUCCGAAUUGCGGGCCGCAAUCACACCCUUCUACACAUUUCCGGUAACUUUCCUUAGGGUGUGGGACCUUUUACGUUUCAUCAUCUGUAGGUUAUAGCUCGUUAUAGGCUAUUUCCUACACAACCAAAGUAAACCAAGGACGUCCAAAACAUUCGUUUUCACGAUUUUCUUCUUUCCAAACUGUUAUUGUGCGAUAGUUCGUGGCAUUUCAAACCAUGACCUUCAUUUAUCGCAGUGUUCCUAAACAAACAUCACCACGAGAUCAGCACAUCGCCUAUUCGGACAAACUCCAGUUGACAUGAGUUUCUGUCAUCCUGAAUUAUUUGAGAACAUUCAAGUAUAUUUCUCUGUGUGGCAAGUGGGUGACAAGUUUGCGGAAAAGCCAUUACAGGCGCGCAUCUUCAGAGGACUAACUAUCCAAGGGAGAGUGAAUGUUAAAAUACUAACAAUGCGAGGUAGGCCUAUUCGCCGCAGUGUGAAAAGGCGGAAACGGGUAUGUUGCUGUAUGUCUCCUAUAGAAUAAGCAAUUGAGCUCUAUGCCGACGACGCCAUCAACGAUAAUCCAAAUUGAUUAUGAAAAUUGUUUGGAGUCUGCAUUGAAGAUUAUUAUCCGGCCACUCGAUCAUCGCCAAUUUUCUGCAUUUUCGCGGAAAAUGUGAUGCUUCCCCUUGGUUUGUAGAACUUUCUCUCUUAUGAAAUACUUCUACUUUUUGUUGGGAUGAGGGCCCAGAACAGUUAUUUUACAUGCUCGGAGCAAUAUGGCAGAUGUUUGCCGGGAAUCGGCGUCGGUUAGCCCGGUUUCUUAUUUGGACAAACGGAAUGGGAGUAUGAGCACUGAGGUAAGGGUAGGAGUCGGGACAGUGGGCGUGGCAGGGAUCAGGCUAUUUAAAGUGACGUUGUACGGCAUGCGAAAACGCCUGGACUUGUUGGGACGCAUCUGCCAAACCCUAGCACAGUCGACAGAUUAUCCUUUAUGUUGACCAGAUACUCUAGUGCCGGCUCUAACAAUGAAAAUACAUUUCUUCAAAAAUGGAAGGCAGUUGUCAAGGAGGCAAAUUCAGGUGGGACCAUUAUAGCCAAUGAGAAGGCAGAUAUGCGUGGGGACAGGCACACCGGUUUCCACUAAUUACCACAGCCCCCCCAAAAAAAUCAUGAAAACAAACAUUUGCUUUUUGGUCUUGGUUUAGGUUAGCAAUGUCAUUAAGGUUAAGUUUAAAAUCACAUUUUAAGUAGAUACAUUGUAGAAAUGGGCGGGGUUUGACUAACUAGUGACUAACAGACAAUUUCAAGUGUUUUUUUUCUCAAAGUUGCCAGGAUGUCACGAGUCCGUCCUAGUUAUAUCCAUACACUCGUAACAACCUAAUGCUUGCGACAUUUCUAUUCGAUCAAAUAAGUUUACAAAAAAUAAGCCCUUACAUUAUUUUGUUAACCAAAUUCAAAACUCAUUGACCACUGUACAAAUACUCAUCUCACAGUGUGAGGAAAAACGAAAAAUGCCACCUGCUGGAGAACAGAUUUUGGGCCCAAUUAUCCGUCUCACUUCUUCUCUUCCUUCUCUGCCACAGUUCAGUUUUGAGCCUUGGCUACAUCAGAUAGGAAGAGGCGAAGCGAGAGGUUUUACUCCGCCCAAAAUCUGUCGAAGAAAAAUAAGGUAACGACGUGAGAUAUUUUUUUUGUAUGGAGGUCAAUGAGAGUGUCGAAUUUUGUCAACAAAAAAACAUUUAUCUCUAUACACCGUUCACACGCGUAUAAGCCCUCUCAUUGGCUAGAAUGGUCCCACCUGAUCUCCUCCCCUCCUGCGUAUUUCCAUAACAGGCCAUCUUUGGCUUCAUUCACUGACCUGUGUACAUUUUAUCUGAAGAUCUGCUGAGUAUCUUUGGGGCUGACCUGUAAUAAAUUACUAUGAAACAAAUUGUUGGUGUUCGAGCUAGAAUGAAUCACAUUAUUAGACAACAUUUUUAAAUUAAUUGUAGCCUAUUAUCUAAGCAGCAAUUAACAUGACAACUCAAACUAAAUUAUUCCGCUGCUCUCUUUUGCUACAUACUUUAGUCAGACUACCAUCAUUGAAGUGGUUUAUAGUGAGGGGCGUUGUACAAAACAAAGUCAUCAGCAAUUGGAUCAUCUCUAACCAAUCAGAGUAUCAAAGCCAAUUAUUCAUGCUCAAACUGCUGCUUUACCAGCAUAGUCUGAGUAGACAGACAAGGCUGCAAUAUGAGUGAAAAAGCAGGGCCUAUAGCUCUACUUAGAUUCCUGUAGGCCUACUUUGUACAUGGUUUUAGCUUAGAAUGGGUUAUGGAUAGGGGACAAUUUUUCACCUUUACGUGGUGAUACUUCCUUAUUCUCGAUUUGUAAGGGACUGGUGUCUAAUAAACGCCUUUUUCCAGUUGCAGGUAGAAGUCCGAUAACAAGGAAAUAUAAAGAAGUGGCACUGCAUCACAGUGCUUGAGGCGUCACUACAGACCCGGGUUCGAUCACAGGCUGUGUUACAGCCGGCCGUGACCGGGAGACCCAUGAGGCGGCGCACAAUUGUCCCAGCGUCAUUUGGGUUAGCAGAGGAUUUGGCUGGCUGGGAUUUCCUUGUCCCAUCGCGCUCUAGCAACUCCUUGUGGCGGGCCAAGCGCCUGCAACUGACUUGGUUGAAAAUAAGUUUGCCAUGCUUUCAAUGGACCAUCGGAUCGACCUCCAGUACAAACUAGUUUAGCUAUACCGCUGGAGGUUCGAUAUAGAUGCGUUAGGUCUAGGCCAAUGGGAAUCUGUGUUGUAUACCCCUAAUACUAUAAUCCCACAUUGUGUCUUACUAUAUUCCAAUGGGGUCUUUUCACCUCAAAAAGCACAAGAAAGAGGCUUGACACCCACCAUCUCAGAUGAUUUUGAAAUUGUUUCUGUUGUUAGAAACAGAUAAGAUUAGCAUUUCUGCAACAAUUUUGUUGAAGUAUAAUUUGAUCUCUAUGAAAUUAAGAUAAUUGAUUGCACCCAAAUUGGCCACUUUAAUUUAUACGAUUCAUGUGGGAAUGGCGUGGGGGGUCCAUGGUUGGCGUCUGACCAUUUCUUUGGAUUCCUCAUGUCUUACUCAUUGUUUGAAAAAAGUUUGCUCCAAAUAGAAUUUUAGGUACAGUAUUUAUUGAAUAUCUGAAUCCUGUAAAUUAAAAUGGUCAAUUUGGGCGCAAUCAAUUAGUUGAAUUUUUCAGAUCAAAUUAUAUUUCAACAGAACAAUGUUGCAGGAAUGCUAAUCUUAUGUGUUUCUAACUAACAGACACAGUUUCAGAACAAUUUGAGAUGGUGGAUGUCAUGAUUGACAUGGAACCACCCAAUGGGGAAGUAGGGGUACUAGAGUAAAGUGAAAGCCAGAAAAUACAUCUUUCAAGGUAUAUAGUUACGGACAAAUAUUGGCACCCUUGCACUUUUCUUUUGUCUUUUUCUUUUUUUCUUUAACUAGGCAAAUAAUUCCCUAUUUCUUCUAAAAUAAGUUGAAAUUGAAAAUACAACUUUUGGUCAAAUCCUUAUUGGAUUUUCAACAUUUGCAAAACCAAUUUUAUUUUUGUUAGUUUAAGAUUACAAUUUUGAAUUGAGAAAAUAAAGGCAAAUGGCUUGGACAAUAUUAUCGGCACCCCGGAGCUAGUACUUGGUUGCACACCCUUAACCAUGACAACUGCAGACAUAUGCUUAUUGUAGCCAUCAAUGAGCUUGCUGCACAUUUCUACUGACAAUUUGGCCCACUUUUCAACACCAAACUGAUCUAAUUAUUCAAUAUUUGAGGGUUGCCCUCUACCAACUGCUGUUUUCUGAUCUCGCCAUAGGUUUUGGAUGUGAUUAAGAUCUGGACUCUUAGCUGGCCACUCCAAAACAGUCCAGUAUCUCUUCUUAACGAUUCCUGGGUGCUUUGUGAUGUGUUGGGGGUCAUUGUCCUGCUGGAAGACUCACAGCCUUCAAUGGAGACCCGGUUUUUAGACUCUAGGUUGAACAUUGGACUACAAAACACCUGAUAAUCUGCUGAUUUCUUGUACACGUUCAAGACCCCCAGUAUCAGAGGCAACAACGAAACACAACAGCAUUAUCAAACCUCCCCCAUCUUUGAUUGUAGGGAUGGUGCAUUUGUUGGCAUUUACUGUAUCUUGGCCAAAAGAUGUGCAAUCAAGUACUAGUUCCAGGGUAACAAUAACUUAAUACAAUCUAUCUUUUCUUUAUUUUCUCAAAUCAAAUUGUAAACUUAAUCUUACAAAAAUACAUUUGGUUCUGCAAUGUUUCAAAUCCAACAACGUGUGGAAACCAAACGUUUUUUUAAAUUUCUUAUUUAAGGAAAGUGCAAGGGUGUCUAUAUAUUUGGCCGCAACUGUAUAUAUAAAAACCCACAGCUCUCUGUUACACACCAGGCACACAUCAUUUUCGAAAUUGUACUUUAUUUUUCUUAAAGACAUAUGUUUUAAAACAGCAAUUUUAGAGAAUAAAUAAUGAAACAAUUGUGAUUUUGAUAAUUACAUUUAUGUAAUUACAAAUUCUACAAUACGUGUAUCCAUAGUCUUGUACUGUAGACCAUAGGAAUAUUCUAUUUUCUAAAAUAAAAAAUAGCCAUAUCUCCCCCUUCAAUUGCAUAACAAAUACAUUAAAAGUAAAAAAUUAAGAUACAAAAAUUCCACCCAAUUACCAUCCCUCACACCCCUAUGCCAAUAACAAUAGUAGUGGUUGUAAUAACGUACAUAUUUUUUCAUUAUUUGACUCCAUUUAAAACAAAGAUAUGUACAGUGAGAAGAAGUUGAUUGUUCUUCUUGCUUAAUUACUCCUCGUCUUUAAUUUAAAAUAAUAAACUAAAUCUACAUACCAAUUCAACCAAUGGUAAUCAUACAAAAUUAACAUCCCCCCCCCCCCCAAUAAGGUUACCAUCCCACUUCUCCAUCCCAUACAUUGCCCUUCCCUCUUAAGUUAUGGACCACAAACCACACUAUUCAGUGAAACCCUGUUCAUUAGAAUAAGUUAUAUGCUUUUUCAUGUAGACCUUGUAUCUGAUAGUACAGUUUGUACAGUACCAGUCAAAAGUUUGGACACACCUACACAUUCAAGGGUUGUUCUUAAUUGUUCUAUUUCUACAUUGUAAAAUAACAGUGAAGACAUCAAAACUAAGAAAUAACACAUGGAAUCAUGUAGUAACCAAAAAAGGUGUUUAUCAAAUCAAAAUAUAUUUUAGAAUUUAGAUUCUUUAAAGUAGCCACCAUUUGCCUUGAUGACAGCUUUGCACAUUCUUGGCAUUCUCUCAACCAGCUUCACCUGGAAUGCUUUUCCAACAGUCUUGAAGGAGUUCCCACAUAUGCUGAGCACUUGUUAGCUGCUUUUCCUUAACUUUGCAGUCCAAUUAAUUCCAAACCAUCAAUCCGAUCAUGAAGGCCUGACUCAUGCAGUCUCAUUUGGGCUGCAAUCUGAGGUGCAGCUGACUCUAAUGAACUUAUCCUAUGCAGCUGAGGUAACUCCGGAUCUUCCUUUCCUGUGGCAGUCCUCAUGAGCCAGUUUCAUCAUAGCGCUUGAUGGUUUUUGCAACUGCACUUGAAGAAACUUUCAAAGUUCUUGACAUUUUCCCGAUUGACUGACCUUCAUGUCUUAAAGUAAUGAUGGACUAUAAUUUCUUAUUUGAACUGUUCUUGCCAUAAUAUGGACUUGGUCUUUUACCAAAUAGGGCUAUCUUCUGAAUACCACCCCUACCUUGUCACAACACAACUGACAAAAGGAAAGAAAUUCCACAAAUGAACUUUUAACAAGAUACACCUGUUAAUUGAAAUGCAUUCCAGGUGACUACCUCAUGAAGCUGGUUGAGAGAAUGCCAAGAGUGUGCAAAGCUGUCAUCAAGCUAAAGGGUGGCUACUUUGAAAAAUCCCAAAUAUAAAACACUUUUUUGGUUACUACCUGAUUUCAUGUGUUAUUUCAUAGUUUUGAUGACUUCAACAUUAUUCUACAAUGUAGAAAAUAGCAAGAAUAAAGAAAAAACGUGAAUGAGUAGGUGUGUCCAAACAUUUGACUGGUACUGUACAUAAUGACUGAAUCCAGCUGUGGAAUGGUAUGUGUACUCCGAACCACCCACCACAUAUGUUUUAUUCUGUUGUUGCUGAUUUUUAGAUAAUACAUAUAUUUGAUCUUAUUUUUCGAGAAGUGUUGUUGCUCCUUUGCUUAUACGGUUUGGGCGAAACCAAAAUGCUGGAAGUAGUUUCUUGAUAGAACUCAUAUCUUCCCUGGGAGAGAGAGACAGAAAGAAAGAGAGAGGAUGAAUACAAAUAUUAAAAUAGUUUAGAUUAGCAUAUACAGUGGAGUCCGAAAUUAUUGACAGCCUUGAUAAAGAUGAGCAAAAAUGAUUGAAUAAAUUAAAUAAUUCUAACACUGAGCUGUAUUGUAUGCUCAAAAUAAUGGGGAAAUUAUAUUAUUUUAUACUAAUACAGUUGUUCAGAGAAAGAUUUAAUUUAACAAGUAAUUAUUUUUUUCCUCAAAGGUAGGGGUCAAAAUUGAAUUGACUUCUUUACAAGGCCUACUACACGUAAGCUAUUUUGUUUCAACUGGUCCUUGAGCCUUGUUAAGUUUAACGGCAUCAUAAACAUUACCCAACCAGGCAAACCUGGCUGCCUCUGCCAGGAGGCUGAAACUUGUCCGCAAGUGGAUCUUCCAGCAAGACAAUCACAAGCACACAUCUAAAUCUACAAAGAAAUUGUUAAAUUUGCAAAAAAUUACUUGUUAAACAAAAUCUAUUUCCCUGAGCAGUAUUAGUAUAAAAUGAUUUUUUUGGAGCAUAGAAUAUUGAUCAGUAUUUGAAUUAUAUAUUUUCUACAGUCAUUUUUCCUCAUCUUUAUAAAGGGUGUCAAUCAUUUCUGACCCCACUGUAUAUUUAAUAUGUUCACACUCUUCAGUGUGGGAGAAACAUCUUUAAACACGUUGGUUACACAGAUAUCACAUGGAUGUCCUCAUUUUUCACUAAACAAGCACGCCUAGGGUACAUGCAACUCAUACAGUGACAACCAUACUGCUGCAUUGAUGUGCAUUUCUUAUUUAAAUAUAUUUUUUGUCUUGUUUUGGCAGGCAAAUAAAUUCCAAACAUGCACAAUAGGAAUUCUGGGAGAUAUUUUUUCUAGUUCUCUUCUUAAUACUCUAGUCCGAUGUUAAAUCUCAUUGACCAAACAAUUGAGUCAAAAAAUAUACAUUCCUAUUAAAUAAUUUUAAUAGAUAAGAGGACGAUUUUCAAACUCAUCCUCUAAAAUAAGCAGUUAUAUCAAAGGUUGCACAUGAGACCGUAGCCUAUGGCUUCUUGUUUGAUUGGAAAUUCGUAGUAACCCAGAAUUCCUACAGAGGAAUGCUGUACCUCAGUCAGCAGCACGUGUGAUGUGUCACAAUGACAACAUACAAUUUUACCCCAAACUCUCACAUGAAAUGUUAGUGUCUCACUUGGUACACACACAAAACCACACACACUACUUUAUUUAUUAAUACACACAAGUACUUUAUGUGGAUCUGCACAGGUACACAUAUGCACACAGCCUCAUUAUGUCACUAAUUUGUAGGUAGGCUACACAUACUUAUUCUCACAACGAGUCAUACCAAAAACAAACAAAGUUCAGGCACAAAGUCACUUGGAUUCAACUACAACCUCACAAAAACCCUGCGCUCCCAGAAACUAAAACACCAACCAACUAAACAUGGGGGAUAUGUAAGAAUGAUAAUCAUGACAAACAACAAAAAGGAAACUAAUCAAAAACAAAAUCCAUCAAAGGAAAUAUUUAUAUCCAUGUUUGAUUUUAGGGUUAAUGCUUAAUAUUGCUCUGCGUAAUAAAAUACCUAUAUUACAAAAAAAUAUAAUAGCAUGUCAUGAUAAUCAAUUGCUUACAAAAUCUUGAGUACAGUGAUAGUAUAAUUGAUCAGUGUUUGCAAAACAGGACAAAAUAAUAGAGGAAACUCACAAUGCACCAAACACAAUUCAUGGUCGCCACAGCAACUCGCCAUGCAGUUGAGCAUGGUGAAUAAAGGCAACGGUCAAAAAUAAAAUUGCUAAUGGCAACCAUCACAGGCAAUAUUGCCACAGCAACCAACACAGGCCAAUUAACUUACAACGCUGUGAGAGGAAGGUUUUUUUAGCGGUUGCUAGGCAACCAUAGCCACGUAGUCUCCACGAUAUAUGUAUGGACAGGACAGUCUUGACUGUGGUAUGAUGUUUUUUCAGGAAAAUGACAUAUGACACAGCACAAAAACAAUAAAUAAAAAGUACAAAAUAAAUUAAUAACGUAUAAUAGUUAUUGUCUUCAACCCAAUCAUACAACACUUGCUAUAUUUGUCUGGACUAUUUCAAAUCUACUUUUGAAUAAUUAAACAUUUUGUCAACC